GAAGCCAGGCCAAGAAGAAUCCCAGGACUGGAAGGCCUUGUGGGACGUCCCAGGUUUGUCUUGUGUCAAUAGCACUGAUACUCAAUCUCCUACUCCCAUCUGUGAGCAUGCAGACCCUACUUGCCUUCCCACAGCCUCCCUUUUCAUAUUUUUCAUGUUUCUUUAGCUCUGUCUUCAAGCCUUGUUGCUCCCGCAAAAAAACCUGCCUCUUCCUCCAGUCCUCCCAAGCAGGGGGAACAGUCCUGACACCUUUCCAAGCCCUGGUCCAUGGACAUUGUGCCCCCUUCUCCCUGCCCAUGGUGACCUGCUCCAAAACCCUCAAGGAGAAGGGAGUGUAUGUCAUUUCCUCCCUGUAAAGUAAAGAUAAUUUUGCAGGGGACUGUGUGGAUGAAAUGACAUGAUGCAUGGAAAUCCCUUAGCGUGUGCCUGGCAUGUAAACUGCAGGUGUCAUCAUUAUUACUGAGGAAUACUGAGUCCCGAACAUGGCUGUCUCAUUGGUGGACUGGGGUCUCCCCCAGGGCAUUCAUCUACUAUGUGUUUAUUGCACCCUUUUUCCAUGUGAGGCACAUGCCAGGGACUGGGCACAUGGUAUGAACAAGACACAGGUCAUCGGUGUCCUCUUGAGCUCCCUGGCUUGGCAGCAGAUGCAUACCUGGGAAGGAUGCUAGGUCAUCCGGGAACUCUACCUCCUUCAAAUCCCUAAGGACUGUGCUCCCAAUCCGCUUACGCUCAAGGAAGAACUGGAAGGCCCAGAACCAGCCUGCUGUCAGGAUCAGAACAAAAGAGGAGGACUGCAUAUGUAUGGACCCACUCCAGAUGGCACGGGGACGGGGGGAGUAGGAAAAGUGGCAUGCUCGCUGGACAGUCCCGUCAGACACAGACAUGAAACUCCUGCGAGAAGACCAAGCCCUGGAUAAUAUCACCACUCAUCCUGUGGCACUUCAUUACAUUCCGGCUGGGGAUAUUUGAAUAUUAGAUAUUAAGCAAUUCCUGUCAAUUUUGUUAGGUGUGUAAUGACAGUAUCAUAGUUAUAUAGAAGAGUGUCCUUUGGUUUUAGAGAUGCAUUCUGAAAUGAUUUGGGGUAAAAGGUCAGGAGGUUUAUAAUUUACUUUAAAAUACUUCAGCCCAAAAGCAAAUGAAGCAUAUAUUAAUUGUUAGAUGUUAACAAUUGUC
rnacentral:lncRNA from 1 species